GGUUGUGUAGUGUAGCGGUUAGCACAUUGGAUUUUGACGUUGUUUUCACAAACUCAAAUCUUCCAAUAACCCCGGUUCGAAUCCGGGCACGACCU